rnacentral:rRNA from 1 species
AGGCUGCAGUCGAGAAUCUUCGGCAAUGGGCGAAAGCCUGACCGAGCGACGCCGCGUGCGGGACGAAGGCCUUCGGGUUGUAAACCGCUGUCGGGAGGGAUGAAGUGCACGGGGGCUAUCCCCUGUGUUUGACAGAGCUCCGGAGGAAGCACGGGCUAAGUUCGUGCCAGCAGCCGCGGUAAUACGAACUGUGCGAACGUUAUUCGGAAUCACUGGGCUUAAAGGGUGCGUAGGCGGCGCUGUAAGUCAGGUGUGAAAUCCCCCGGCUCAACCGGGGAAUGGCGCUUGAAACUGCAGUGCUUGAGUGAGGUAGGGGUGCAUGGAACUUCCGGUGGAGCGGUGAAAUGUGUAGAUAUCGGAAGGAACGCCGGCGGCGAAAGCGGUGCACUGGGCCUUGUCUGACGCUGAGGCACGAAAGCUAGGGUAGCGAACGGGAUUAGAUACCCUAGUAGUC